rnacentral:misc_RNA from 1 species
AAGUCGUAACAAGGUUUCCGUAGGUGAACCUGCGGAAGGAUCAUUAUCGAAUAAACUGACGACGGUUGAGCUGGCACUGCAGGUGCUCGCCGUCUGUCUAUUUAUCUCUUCUCCUCCUGUGCACCCCUUUGUAGAUAGCUCGUAGACGGGAAACUGUCGAAAGGCUUUCUAUGUUACUCUCAUUCACUCAAGUAUGUAACCAGAAUGUAAUCAAUGGGCCUUUGUGCCUAUAAAAAAGUUAUACAACUUUCAGCAACGGAUCUCUUGGCUCUC